CUUGAACUUCGGUUUGGGUGGCGGACGGGUGAGUAACGCGUAAAGAACUUGCCUCACAGAUAGGGACAACAUUUGGAAACGAAUGCUAAUACCUGAUAUUAUGAUUUUAGGGCAUCCUAGGAUUAUGAAAGCUAUAUGCGCUGUGAGAGAGCUUUGCGUCCCAUUAGCUAGUUGGAGAGGUAACGGCUCACCAAGGCGAUGAUGGGUAGCCGGCCUGAGAGGGUGAUCGGCCACAAGGGGACUGAGACACGGCCCUUACUCCUACGGGAGGCAGCAGUGGGGAAUAUUGGACAAUGGACCAAGAGUCUGAUCCAGCAAUUCUGUGUGCACGAUGAAGUUUUUCGGAAUGUAAAGUGCUUUCAGUUGGGAAGAAAAAAAUGACGGUACCAACAGAAGAAGUGACGGCUAAAUACGUGCCAGCAGCCGCGGUAAUACGUAUGUCACAAGCGUUAUCCGGAUUUAUUGGGCGUAAAGCGCGUCUAGGUGGUUAUGUAAGUCUGAUGUGAAAAUGCAGGGCUCAACUCUGUAUUGCGUUGGAAACUGUGUAACUAGAGUACUGGAGAGGUAAGCGGAACUACAAGUGUAGAGGUGAAAUUCGUAGAUAUUUGUAGGAAUGCCGAUGGGGAAGCCAGCUUACUGGA
rnacentral:rRNA from 1 species